GGCGGCGUGCUAUACAUGCAAGUCGAACGCGCAGCGAAAGGUGCUUGCACCUUUCAAGCGAGUGGCGAACGGGUGAGUAACACGUGGAUAACCUGCCUCAAGGCUGGGGAUAACAUUUGGAAACAGAUGCUAAUACCGAAUAAAACUUAGUAUCGCAUGAUACAAAGUUGAAAGGCGCUACGGCGUCACCUAGAGAUGGGUCCGCGGUGCAUUAGUUAGUUGGUGGGGUAAAGGCCUACCAAGACAAUGAUGCAUAGCCGAGUUGAGAGACUGAUCGGCCACAUUGGGACUGAGACACGGCCCAAACUCCUACGGGAGGCUGCAGUAGGGAAUCUUCCACAAUGGGCGAAAGCCUGAUGGAGCAACGCCGCGUGUGUGAUGAAGGCUUUAGGGUCGUAAAGCACUGUUGUAUGGGAAGAAAUGCUAGAAUAGGGAAUGAUUCUAGUUCGACGGUACCAUACCAGAAAGGGACGGCUAAAUACGUGCCAGCAGCCGCGGUAAUACGUAUGUCCCGAGCGUUAUCCGGAUUUAUUGGGCGUAAAGCGAGCGCAGACGGUUGAUUAAGUCUGAUGUGAAAGCCCGGAGCUCAACUCCGGAAUGGCAUUGGAAACUGGUUAACUUGAGUGUUGUAGAGGUAAGUGGAACUCCAUGUGUAGCGGUGGAAUGCGUAGAUAUAUGGAAGAACACCAGUGGCGAAGGCGGCUUACUGGACAACAACUGACGUUGAGGCUCGAAAGUGUGGGUAGCAAACAGGAUUAGAUACCCUGGUAGUCCACACCGUAAACGAUGAAUACUAGGGUGUUAGGAGGUUUCCGCCUCUUAGUGCCGAAGCUAACGCAUUAAGUAUUCCGCCUGGGGGAGUACGACCGCAAGGUUGAAACUCAAAGGAAUUGACGGGGACCCGCACAAGCGGUGGAGCAUGUGGUUUAAUUCGAAGCAACGCGAAGAACCCUUACCAGGUCUUGACAUCCUUUGAAGCUUCUAGAGAUAGAAGUGUUCUCUUCGGAGACAAAGUGACAGGUGGUGC
rnacentral:rRNA from 1 species